rnacentral:lncRNA from 1 species
AAGUGGGUAAUAGUGAAGCAUGGACAACUGACUCGAAGACGUCAUAUAAUGACUCAAGCUAUCUUGUAACAAGGGCAUCAAAUAGUUAAUUAUUAAGGUCAACUCUCUACAUCUUAUUCAACUCUUACAGCAUGGUGGAGAUCAUCUUUAUUCUCCCUCUAAGAUCAUUGAUAAGAUUAGAUACAUAUUUAACAAAAAUUGGAUGGUUAAGAUCUCCCAUAACUACCAUGAAGGCAACACAUUUGCUAAAUGGCUUUUGUCUUGGACUUACCACAAUUUGAUGGGUCUCCCUGCUUUUUACCUCAAGCUCCUAAAGACAUAUAAAGAUAUCUCUUAUUGGAAUGUUGUGACUCGGCUUGGAUCCAUCUUGUUGGGUACUAACCCUUUUUUCCC